rnacentral:lncRNA from 1 species
UAAUACUAAUUCAGCAACGUGAGUUGAGAAUUUAUCAAGGUGAUGGAUGAUAUUACUCUCUUCAAUGUCAUGGUUUGUUCAAGAAAUCUCGACUCUUAAGGCGAGAUCCCAUGAAAAAAGUGUUUUAUUCGGUGGAUCUCAUCUCCUAUAAUAGAAAGUUGUGCAGAUCUUUCACGGAAUCAUCGUAUACUUUCAUAUUUAAGGACUAAGGAGUUCCAUAAAACGACAAAAUAAUAGACUGAUAUACCCAGUUAGGAGCAGGGAGAUUUCUCAUAUUCUACCCACAGCUCCUUUUUUGAAAUUAUUGAAAGUCAACUUUGCUUCGUCUUCUACUUUAAGAAAACUAUUCCAUGAAUAAGAGUCCUUCAGUAUCCUGGAUGUAUAUAACGCAGAAAUCACUCAUCUCUAUCACAUUUAUAUCAAUUCCAUUUAUAAGUUGGCCUUCGUCAUAUACGGUCUAUACAGAUAAUUAUAUAAGCUGGACACUUCUAGCUCACGCCUCAUUGCUUUAUUACGACUCAAUUCACUUGUCAUAGGAAAACAAGUGGAACAUGAUUCUAAACUCGUGAAGAUAAUGUGCUUCUCUUUUCAGUAUAUUUUGGUCAACAAAGCAUAUUUUAUUCCGCUUUAAAUAUAAAUAGUUAUUCGGAGCUGUAAAGUGAUUAUGUGUUCUACAAAAUGUAUAACAAUCUUUUUAACUUUUGUACACUUAUGUUGAAAUAUCUUAAUGCCGUUUAAAUUUUCAAACUUAUUGAUUGGGGAAUCCUUCUUUAAACAGCCAAAUUGCUUGACAGCCUCAUGGAAUAUUACUCUCGCAAAGAUUUAGGAUCUCAACACAAAUAAAUAAACUAUUAAAUGUUGUCAUUACUAGA